AAAAAGCUACUCGCCAUCAAAGACACAGAUCAUGGAUUCAAGGUGUCCCCCAGGAAGUUGCCGGAGUCCCCCUCCAGUGAGAGAAGCCUGGUGUUCUCGGUGACAGCCCCCUCCCCCCAGUCCAGCCCAUCCAGCGGGAGACUGACCCCCACCAACCUGGGGGCCGGGGCCAUCAACUACAGCAGUCAUUCCAUCAACCUGUCCCCCUACUCCUCCCCAGGGGGAUCCCCAGGUGGAAACAUUGGAACCUCCUUCUCCCAGUUUUCUCCAAGCAUGUACAGUCCAAACUUAUCUGGAUACAGUCCCAAUGUCUCUGGUUACAGUCCCCAACUAGCAGGAUAUGGUCCAAACCUAUCUGGACAUGCCCUGAAUUUAUCAGGCUAUAGUUCCAAUCUAUCUGGAUACAGCCCAAACUUAUCCACUUACAGUCCCAAUAUGUCCGGAUACAAUCCCAACAUAUCCAGCUUUAGUCCAGGAACAGUGUAUACGCCAAGUCCUAAUGUAUCUGGAUUUUCUCCCUAUGUGACAGGGUAUUCUCCAAACCUAUCUGGAUUCCCAUCUGGAUCUCCAGGAAUGACACAGACAGGAAUGGCAGACACCAGUGGGCUCAGAUCCAGACACACAUUGUCGCAAACCAUGAAAAAUGCUGCAGCCUCCUCGUCGUUUGAUAGAAUCACCGACCUUCACUCACUGAGCAAGUACCUGCGAGAACAGGACGAGAAAGAGUAUAUCAAGUCAGCUCUCAGUUCCCCAGAAAAUUCUGGUGGAUCUUCGUUUUGGAAUUAUGGGAGAACGGCCAUGGAUUAUACUCACGUCCUGAAAAAAUAUGUGUACCAGCUGGCGAGUCGAUCGCCUCACUCCCUCACCACGACCAACAACGACAACGACCAAUCAAAUUCCUACAACGGGGAAGACGUGUGGACUAAAAGAGGAGUGACAGAGGACGACCUCUUUUUGUGGGUCGAGCGGCUCAGAAAGUGGAUAUGCUUGACCAUUGUAUCACCCCUACGUAAGGAGAUUGAAGAAGUGAAUGCUGGAUUACGCAGAAUUGGGUCAGAGGAAACCGAAAUUGGAGAGGUUGGGGUCUCUACAUUGAAGCAGCUGGCUCUGACAAAGGGCCCCUAUGUACCCACCCUCAAUGCUGUGGUGCCUUAUCUGGAUUUCUCCUCAAACCAGGAGUAUCUAGUCAAGAGAAUUAAAGACUUGGGGAAGGAUGGGUGCAUGGGAGAGUUUUGCUGGAACUCUGGGGGAGACUAUGGCAAGGAAUGGGGGGAGCACCUGCCCUCGGAUGCUGCACUGGUGAUGCAUUUGUUCUGUACAUAUAUGGACUCAAGGCUUCCUGCUCAGCCUAAAUACCCUGACGGAAAAACUUUUACGUCGCAACAUUUCAUUAAGACACCAGAUAAACCUAAUUUGGACAAAGAGGACACAGUGUGUAUAUAUCAGUCAUCCAUAAGUCCGCCCCAUUUCCAAGUCGUGAUAGGGAAGACAGUUCAUCAAAUACCCAAAGGGAGAAAUAACAUGUUUCAAGCCUUACUGUUGUUUCUACACCACAUUGACACGAAGGAGCACGGAAUGUUAGGACGAGUCAACCUAGGGAUGUCUGGUGUCAACAUCACAUGGAUUUUCAAGUGACAAGAAGACCGCGCCAAAUAAUUUCUGUUUUCUGUCAUCGGUUAGACGGCUGAUGUUGGGUUGAUGGAGAUAAACCUCAUAUCCGGGGUUGAGGAUUUGACAAAUGAGAUGGGGAUACCAAGAAAAUGUGCCAAAGACAAGAAACAACCUGUCCAGCAUGUCAUUGUAGGGCUAUUAGAUUUGUUUCUUGGCAAUGGAUUUUAAUGUUGUUGAAGUCCAAAAGAUCUCGAUUCACUGCAUUGUUUAAUGCAUUUAUGUUGAUGCAUGGGGUUAAAGACACCUUUUCAAAUAAAUGAUGCAGAAAUU
rnacentral:misc_RNA from 1 species